CCGAGUUUACAACUCCCAAACCCAAUGUGAACGUUACCAAACUGUUGCCUCGGCGGGAUCUCUGCCCCGGGUGCGUCGCAGCCCCGGACCAAGGCGCCCGCCGGAGGACCAACCAAAACUCUUAUUGUAUACCCCCUCGCGGGUUUUUUACUAUCUGAGCCAUCUCGGCGCCCCUCGUGGGCGUUUCGAAAAUGAAUCAAAACUUUCAACAACGGAUCUCUUGGUUCUGGCAUCGAUGAAGAACGCAGCGAAAUGCGAUAAGUAAUGUGAAUUGCAGAAUUCAGUGAAUCAUCGAAUCUUUGAACGCACAUUGCGCCCGCCAGUAUUCUGGCGGGCAUGCCUGUCCGAGCGUCAUUUCAACCCUCGAACCCCUCCGGGGGGUCGGCGUUGGGGAUCGGCCCUUUACGGGGCCGGCCCCGAAAUACAGUGGCGGUCUCGCCGCAGCCUCUCCUGCGCAGUAGUUUGCACACUCGCAUCGGGAGCGCGGCGCGUCCACAGCCGUUAAACACCCCAAACUUCUGAAAUGUUGACCUCGGAUCAGGUAGGAAUACCCGCUGAACUUAAGCAUAU
rnacentral:rRNA from 1 species